rnacentral:rRNA from 1 species
AGGAUGAACGCUGGCGGCGUGCCUAAAACAUGCAAGUCAUACGGUCUACCUUCGGGUAGACAGUGGCAAACGGGUGAGUAACACGUGGGAACACGCCUUCGAGUGGGGAAUAACGCUGAGAAAUCAGUGCUAAUACCGCAUAUGGUCUAACGACUAAAGCAGCAAUGCGCUCGGAGAGUGGCCCGCGUCCGAUUAGCUAGUUGGUGGGGUAAUGGCCUACCAAGGCGGUGAUCGGUAGCUGGUCUGAGAGGAUGGUCAGCCACACUGGGACUGCGAACGGCCCAGACUCCUACGGGAGGCAGCAGUUAGGAAUUUUCGGCAAUGGACGAAAGUCUGACCGAGCGACGCCGCGUGGAGGACGAAGCCUUUCGGGGUGUAAACUCCUUUUCUGCGGGAAGAUAAUGACGGUACCGCAGGAAUAAGCACCGGCUAACUACGUGCCAGCAGCCGC